UCUUAUGGAUGAGCAAAGAAAGUAGUUUCUUGAGAUGGAAUCCACUCUUGGUGAAGAUACUUGAAGA
rnacentral:pre_miRNA from 1 species